UGGGGAAUAUUGGGCAAUGGAGGCAACUCUGACCCAGCAACGCCGCGUGAGGGAAGAAGGUUUUCGGAUUGUAAACCUCUGUCCUAGGGGAUGAAGAAAGUGACGGUACCCUAGGAGGAAGCCCCGGCUAACUACGUGCCAGCAGCCGCGGUAAUACGUAGGGGGCGAGCGUUGUCCGGAAUUACUGGGCGUAAAGGGUGCGUAGGCGGUUUGGUAAGUUAGAUGUGAGAGCCCCGGGCUUAACUCGGGAGUUGCAUUUAAAACUGCUGAACUAGAGUGCAGGAGAGGAAAGCGGAAUUCCUAGUGUAGCGGUGAAAUGCGUAGAUAUUAGGAGGAACACCAGUGGCGAAGGCGGCUUUCUGGACUGUAACUGACGCUGAGGCACGAAAGCGUGGGGAGCGAACA
rnacentral:rRNA from 1 species